AAAGCAUUACGUAAGAAUAUAAUACGUGUACAUAUAGCAGAACAUGCCACGUUGAAGUACUCCACAUAGGUUCCAAAAAAAUAAUAUAGUAGAUAAAGAACUUCCCGUCGAUGGAUCAAUGAUAAGCAAAAAAAAUAUUACUCUAACCUAAACAAAUAAGGAGCCUAUUAUUAACAAACAAGGACAACCACCUCACGCGAGGAAAGUUCCAGAUCAGGAACAAAUACAUGCAAAUAAAACAAGUCUGAUUUGCACACGGUGCAUAAGUCUGAUUUGCACAUGGUGUUGGCAUCUGAUUUGCAGCCGGUCUCAGCCACCACAAUCCAAGACACCUAAAAGUAUAUAAAUAAGUACACACGAACGCACAAGUACCCACCAAACAAUUAGAAGCCAACGACCACGACGACUUGAACACAUCACACGCGACUCAACGUCCAGACGAAAAAGCCACCUCCAGCCGCUUCACUCGACGCCUGACAUAGUCACGCGAAAGCACGCUCAGCGCCCGACGAAGCGACGCCUGCUCCAAUCUAAGUCGAAAGAAUUGACGCCAAAGCAAAUCUAGCCUGAAUCAUCAGAUUUGGUAAUUGUUAUUUCACAAGCUUACUUUUGAUGGAUAGAAUCUUCAUAAAUACUAUAUCAAUUGAUAAAUUGUUCCCUGUUAGUUUUGAAGAUAUAAGAAUAUGGCAUACAAGAAGUUGAGCGACUUAACUACAAGGGGACAGAAUUGGAAUAUUCAAGUGAAAGUAAUGAGAAUGUGGGAUUCAGUGAAUCCUACGACCGAUGAGCUUAUUAGCCUAGAUAUGAUACUGAUGGAUGAGCAGGUCUGUUUUCUAAUAUAUUAAAUUAGAAUUUUUCUGUCGGAUGAAGCAACUUACUAACCCUAUUUGAUUCUUUUAACAGGAUGAAACAAUCCAUGCUACUAUCUACAAUCCAUGCUACUAUCUGGAAGAAUCUUAUAGACACUUUUAGAUCAAAGAUCAAUGAAAAGUCUAUUUAUGCAUUCAGCAAUUUUAAGGUCGCGGAAUCCACAAAAUAUAGGCCAGUGAGCAAUGAAAUUAAAAUAUAUUUUGCAUACAAUACAAAGGUAAAGGAAAUAAAAGGAUCUUCGGAAGUUUUCCCGAAAUAUUGCUUUGAGUUUGCUACCAUGGACACACUAGAAGAAAGGGCGGAAAAAGAUACACAAUGCUCAGGUAUGUUUGUGGAUGUAAUUACGACCUCCAAAUAAUGGAUAUUUCUAAUUUUUAUAUCACUAUAAUCUCCAAAUAUGCAGAUGUCAUUGGACUACUAACUCAAAUGAAGCCAGUGGAGACAAGAAUAACAAAAAGGAACCCACAACCUUCAUAUAUCCACGAGAUUGAAAUCCUAAUGCCAGAGUAAGUGCAUAUGCAUGUCUCAAAUUUAACUAAACCUCCCCCAUGUGGUUAACACUAACUUCUUAGAUUAUAUUCUUUAGGGGUGAUAAAAUCAGAAUCACGUUGUGGGAAAAGUUUGCUUAUUUUUUGACCGAGGAUGUAAUCGGCAGCCAAACUGUCCUUAUUAUCACAUCAACGAUGGUGCAGAGAUUCAAUGGUAAGUGCAUAAAUCUUACAUGCUAUUCUUAUCAUUUACAAAUUCUAACUGAAUGAUUAAAUAGGUUUGUGCCUAAAGUCAAUGAGUGCCACAAGGAUAUAUAUAUAGAUCUGGAUAUACCAGAAACACAAGAACUUCUUGAUAGGUAUGAAACACCACCGAUUUAUAUAUUUUCACUCAUAAUUACUAAGUCAGGUUGAUUAAAGGUUGUAUAUUCUUAUUUACUUCAUACAUGUGCAGGAACUCAGCCGAAGAAACCUUACCAAAGAUGGGCAGUAUAGAUAGAAGUAAUCAAGGAACACUAGAAGAACAGAUGUUUUAUAGGAGGAGAACAUUAGAAGAACUUACUGCAAUGAGGCACGGAAACCAGCCAGACCAGGUAACGCAUCAAAAUUCCAAUAAAUGAUAUCAUCAAUCUUCGUGAUACGCGAUAAGAC
rnacentral:lncRNA from 1 species